AAGAGACAGCAGCCGCCGCGGGAAUACGUAGGUCCCGAGCGUUGUCCGGAUUUAUUGGGCGUAAAGCGAGCGCAGGCGGUUAGAUAAGUCUGAAGUUAAAGGCUGUGGCUUAACCAUAGUACGCUUUGGAAACUGUUUAACUUGAGUGCAAGAGGGGAGAGUGGAAUUCCAUGUGUAGCGGUGAAAUGCGUAGAUAUAUGGAGGAACACCGGUGGCGAAAGCGGCUCUCUGGCUUGUAACUGACGCUGAGGCUCGAAAGCGUGGGGAGCAAACAGGAUUAGAUACCCCAGUAGUCCCUGUCUCUUAUACA
rnacentral:rRNA from 1 species